rnacentral:rRNA from 1 species
ACUCCUACGGGAGGCAGCAGUAGGGUAUUUUUGGCAAUGGGGGCAACCCUGACUGAGCAACGCCGCGGGAGUGAAGAAGGUUUUCGGAUCGUAAAGCUAUGUAUUAGUCAAGAACUGAGUUGA